GACGAACGCUGGCGGCGUGCCUAACACAUGCAAGUCGAGCGAAUGAAGUUCCUUCGGGAAUGGAUUUAGCGGCGGACGGGUGAGUAACACGUGGGCAACCUGCCUCAUAGAGGGGAAUAGCCUUCCGAAAGGGAGAUUAAUACCGCAUAAGAUUGUAGUACCGCAUGAUACAGCAAUUAAAGGAGCAAUCCGCUAUGAGAUGGGCCCGCGGCGCAUUAGCUAGUUGGUGAGGUAACGGCUCAACAAGGCGACGAUGCGUAGCCGACCUGAGGGGGUGAUCGGCCACAUUGGGCAUGAGACACGGCCCAGAAUCCUACGGGAGGCAGCAGUGGGGAAUAUUGCACAAUGGGGGAAACCCUGAUGCAGCAACGCCGCGUGAGUGAUGACGGCCUUCGGGUUGUAAAGCUCUGUCUUCAGGGACGAUAAUGACGGUACCUGAGGAGGAAGCCACGGCUAACUACGUGCCAGCCGCCGCCGUAA
rnacentral:rRNA from 1 species